AAAAAAAACAUUAAGAUUUGUGCUGAUUAAUGCCAGUCAUGUGUCUAUAAACAUAAUCUUUUAAAACAAAUAACAAAUAUAAUGCUUUGUUACUUAAAUAAUUUAAUAACAGGUUUACAAGCUUGAGGGCCUGGGCCCAGUUCUCUCAGUAGCUGCCUACAGCCAAGAAAACUGGGCAGCAGUAGAACGCAUUUUCGAGUCCCACUCGCAAGAGUCAUUCCCUCAAAACUUAUUCAGACAGCUGCAGGGUGUCCAAGACAAAUCCAGGACACCCUACUUAAUAAAGGCAAUUGGCACUUCAGGAUUAAAAGUUGCCCGAGAAAUUGCAGAAGAUAAAAGAAAAGACCACAUGAAGCAAUUAGCUGUGGCCACAUUACAGAUGGGGACUUGGGAAGACAUUGAGGAGACAUAUACGUUGUCAGACAAGAUGUUAGAGUUCACUGGUGACUUAUCAACCCCUCAAGGACGUGAACGUUAUUGUUACCACGUUGAGAAAUUGUCCGUCAACGACAAAGAUGCAUGGACAGUUACAAUAACUGUCAAAAAAAAUGGAAUUGACGUGCCAUUGCAGCCACAAAUUUUACAAAAGUUCACUGAAAAAAUUAUUAAAACAGUGCAAAAAAAUGUCACUGAUUUUGAAGAAUAAAUAGAUAGACGAAUUUUGUUGAAUUCUGUGGAAUAUCAAUUUUAAGUCACAAGUGAUCAUGUGGGUGAUCCACUCUUGAAAAUACAUUCUUUCUAUGAUCACGAGUGAUUUAAAAAUGAUAUUCCACAGAAUAAAACAAAUUUUAUUUUCACUUCAUGUUUUUUUUCAACGUUUAUUGACAUCGUAAACUAGUUUUGCUAAAGAAUUUUGCUGGAAUAGUGACUGUUAUUUUUCACUGUUUGAAACAAUGACGGACGGACGGACGGACGACAGCGCCAAAACAAUAUCCCUCCGCCUCUGGCUGUGGAUAUACAUGUAUACUCAUACCAAGUUUCAAUGAAAUCCGCCAAAGCACUUCCAAGAUAUGGCUCCGGACACAAAAGUGCCUAUAGUAAAAAGCAUUUUUUCAAGAUACAAAGGGCCAUAACUCUGUUUUUAACAGAUGGUGUACAAUGCCAUUUGGUGUUCAUCACCCUCUUAUGCAUAUAUAUACUCAUAACAAGUUUCAAUGAAAUCUGCCAAAGAACUUCCAAGAUAUGGCUCUGGACACAAAAGUGCCGGAUGGACAGCCGGACAGUCGGACGGACGGAAAACGCCAAAACAAUAUCCCUCCGCCAGAAACGCCUCUGGCGGGAGAUAAAAAUUCUCAUAUAAACUACGGUAAUCUGGUGAUAAUUGUUAGUGACAUACGGGACAUAAUUGUAACACUCUCAUGUAGAGCUAAAAUAGUAGAAUUUGAUUUCCGCAUAAAGAGAGUGAAUUAUGUAAAGACUUUUAACUGAGAUUAUGUUCCGGUACUUUAAUUUUUUAUUUUUUUUCAGAUUUUAUUCAAUUGAUAUAAGGGUUCGUUUAGAGUCAUACAAGCAACUAGCUGUAUUGUACAUGUUAAUACAAUUUAUUGUCAACCCUCAAACACCUUCUAUGGGAUGUGAUAUUUAUAUAUCAUUUGAAUGCUUGCUUUAUUUAUAUUAAUUUAAAAUGUUCAUGAAAAAAAUGUCAAACAAAUAUAAUGUGCAUUUUCUUAACUAGGGGGGGGGGGGACAAUUUUAGUAUGAAUAAGGCCAAUUUUUUUUUACCUAAAACCAAAACCGGCCUUGGUUUUAUUCAUAUGCAAAGAUAACUUGCAUGAUAAAUAGAAAAUAUUAUACGAGUGUCUGAUUGACAUCAAUAUCAUCAUGCGAGCUUCAAGUCGAGCAUGGUAAUCUUGAUUUCUAUCCAACACUCGCAUAAUAUUAUAUUUAUCCAAUUAAUUUGUGGUCGUUUUUCGCUUUCGCUAAAAAAUCAAAGCAAUAGCGUUGGUUUCCCAAUAUUUGCAAUGAAUUGUUUGUUUAAUUCAAACAUUAUCAUUUGUUAUGAAAUAACAUUGAAUCAUACAGUGUUAUAAAAUUAGAGGAUCACAAAAAAAAUGCUCUAAAAUUAACAAUAGUAUAGAGCUAACGUUUAUAGUAUCAGUUGUAAUUCUAUCUGUUAUCAUGUAACAAUAGGAUAAACUAUAAUUUCUUCUGUUUAAGGCAAUGGCAAACUGAAAUUGUGUUGUUGUUUUACUUAAAAUGUGUCAUUUUUAUGUCCCCCACCACUACAGUGGGGGACAUAUUGUUUUUGCCCUGUCUGUUGGUUUCUUUGUGUGUUUGUUUGUGUUUGUGUCAAACUUUGACAUUUGCCAUAACUUUUGCAAUAUUGAAGAUAGCAACUUGACAUCUGGCAUGCAUGUAUAUCUCAUGGAGCUGCACAAUUUGAGCGGUGAAAGGUCAAUGUUAAGGUCAUUCUUCAAGGUCAAAGGUCAAAUAAAUAGCUUCAAAGUGGCGCAGUAGGGGACAUAGUGUUUCUGACAAACACAUUUUUUGUUUUAAUAUGCAUUUACUGUUAAGUUCCUGAACUACAUUUUGAUAUUGUAUUCGAAUGACUGAAAAUGAUUGAACAUGUUGAUUAUGUCAUACAUAAUCUAUGUAUUUUUAUUAUUUAAAAAAAUUGUGUCUACCUUCCAAUAGUGAUGUCAAAUUAAAAAAUAAUCUGCAUAAAAAUCUUUUUUGGUGAAUUUAAUUAUUACAGGUCAAGCUAUUUAAGAGCAUAAACAUUAAUUUUUUAAUUAAUUAUUAAAUUUAAAUCGAUACCAUACUAUAAAUUUUCAGUAAAAAAGAACACUAUGAAACACAUUAUGUAUUGAUCCUCAUUGUUAAUAUUGCAAGAUUGCUAAUUUAUUUGUCUUUUUAUGUGUGAUUUGAAGCAUUAUUUGCAUAACUAAUGACCAUUUUUCAAAGAACAAACAUAUUUACAAUAAAAUGAAUCUAGCGUUUUUACUAUUUAAACCAGCCAGAAAUAAGGUGACCUUUUAUAAACAUUAUUGGCAUUAAAACCUUAAUUUUGAAAACUGCAUGUUGUUAUUUAUAACCAUAAUUAUAUGUAAUGAAACAUAACGUACAAGUCUCGAUACAUGUCAAAAACUUUCCAAAAUGAAGUAAAACAGGGAAAA